GCAGGAGGGAGCAAGGAGGGGCCGCGCGGCGGCGGAGGGGCGGAGCUCUCUGGAGCUCGGAGCUGGAAAGGGGAGCGGGGGGCAGGGCGGCGCCAGUAGGCCUGAGACCCUGGCCGGCAGGAGAGGAGGCAGGACAGGGAGACAGCCUGGCUGGAGCGGACAAAGGCAUCUGGACAAGCUUCCCCCAAAGAAACCAAGGUUGUCUUCCUUGUCUUAUUUCCUAAUUCUCUUUCUUCUACCUUGCAGGGACCCCCAUCUUGCACCCCCCCAGCCUCCUCCCCAAACUCGGCUUAGGAGUGACCCACUUCUAGGCCUCCAUCUGCAAAGCCACUGGCUUACAGCCCCCAGGAUUCCAGCCCAGGGCCUACAGCCUCACCAUGGUGAAGCUGCUGCCUGCCCAGGAGGCGGCCAAGAUCUACCAUACCAACUAUGUGCGCAACUCGAGGGCUGUGGGUGUGAUGUGGGGCACACUCACCAUCUGCUUCUCUGUACUGGUCAUGGCCCUCUUCAUCCAGCCCUACUGGAUCGGUGACAGUGUUAACACACCUCAGGCAGGCUAUUUUGGCCUCUUCUCCUACUGUGUGGGCAACGUGCUGUCCUCUGAACUCAUCUGCAAGGGUGGCCCACUGGACUUCUCCUCCAUUCCCUCUAGAGCCUUCAAGACUGCCAUGUUUUUUGUGGCCUUGGCCAUGUUCCUCAUCAUUGGCUCCAUCAUCUGCUUUAGCCUCUUUUUCGUCUGCAACACAGCCACUGUCUACAAGAUCUGCGCAUGGAUGCAGCUGGCUGCAGCCACAGGCCUGAUGAUUGGCUGCCUGGUCUACCCAGAUGGUUGGGACUCAAGUGAGGUGCGGCGCAUGUGUGGGGAGCAGACGGGCAAGUAUACACUGGGCCAGUGCACCAUCCGCUGGGCCUUCAUGCUGGCCAUCCUCAGCAUCGGAGAUGCCCUCAUCCUCUCCUUCCUGGCCUUUGUGCUGGGCUACCGGCAGGACAAGCUCCUCCCGGAUGACUACAAGGCAGAUGGAAAAGAGGCCAACGGUCAGUGGGGGUUUGCAAGCCAGCAGGUGAUGAGGUGAUGACAGCAGCUGUCUGUGAUAGAAGAGUGUCUUUCCUUCUCCCUCAUGCCCUCACUCCUGUCAGGGUCUACAGAGGAGAGAACCCUGGUCCAGCCUGGGGAGAGGAAGUCUGAAGCAGCUGAAGGGUUGGUCAUCUAUUUCCCUGACAAUGGAAAAUUAAGGAAUCAAAUUCUUCAGAGAUAAGAACUUUUUCCUUCCAUGCUUCCCUGUCCUUGGCUACUAUAGGCCUGAUGUUCUCGUUCUGAAGCCUUUCAUGAUAGGAUUAGAACCUGACAUUCUCCUGAGACAAGACAGAAAACUUACAAGUGAAGCAGAACUACAGUGACCCGCAUCAAAGAUAUUCAGAGAGACAAUGGGUGGUACUCUACCCAAGCCCCAGCUCUCUUCUUAUCCCCUUUACACCAGCGAUCACUUUACCCUCUAGAGGCUUCUCUGUAAAAUGAGAGGGCUAAAUGAAUCCAUGUAUUGGGGCCCCCGAGGUCAGAUUCUCCGACAGACUGCAUUGAACGCACAUUGGAAACUGCCACUCAGCUCUAAAAGGGCAGCUGAGAAAGAG